rnacentral:rRNA from 1 species
UGGGGAAUAUUGGGCAAUGGAGGAAACUCUGACCCAGCAACGCCGCGUGAAGGAUGAAGGUUUUCGGAUUGUAAACUUCUGUUGCGAGGGAUGAAGAAUGACGGUACCUCGUGAGGAAGCCCCGGCAAACUACGUGCCAGCAGCCGCGGUAAUACGUAGGGGGCAAGCGUUGUCCGGAAUGACUGGGCGUAAAGGGAGUGUAGGCGGCCUUUUAAGUUAUAUGUGAAAGCCCCCGGCUUAACCGAGGAACUGCAUAUAAAACUGGAGGGCUGGAGUGCAGGAGAGGUAAGCGGAAUUUCUAGUGUAGCGGUGGAAUGCGUAGAUAUUAGGAAGAACACCGGAGGCGAAGGCGGCUUACUGGACUGUAACUGACGCUGAGGCUCGAAAGCGUGGGGAGCAAACAGG